rnacentral:rRNA from 1 species
GAUCAUGGCUCAGGACGAACGCUGGCGGCGUGCUUAACACAUGCAAGUCGAACGCUGAAGCUCAGCUUGCUGGGUGGAUGAGUGGCGAACGGGUGAGUAACACGUGAGUAACCUGCCCUCUUCUUUGGGAUAACGCCCGGAAACGGGUGCUAAUACUGGAUAUUCACUGAUCUUCGCAUGGGGGUUGGUGGAAAGGUUUUUUCUGGUGGGGGAUGGGCUCGCGGCCUAUCAUCUUGUUGGUGGGG